AAAUGCUUCUACUGUAAGUGGAGCUCUAGGAAGUCUCUCUCUUUUAGGGAAAUCAAGUUUCUCUAAGUCACAGAAGACUCUAAGACUAUUGCUGAGUGACUACAGAAUCCAGUUAUUUCAACUGAAUUGCAGCUCUCAGGGUUUGACUUCAACUGUGAUUGCAUGUUACAAAUCAUAUGGUACGCACAAUGCAAGCAAAAAAAAAAUCAGUAACAGUGAGAUGGAAAAAACCUUAGAGAAGUAAAUUUCUAUGAACAAGUUGCUGCUAAUACUGCUAUCCAAAUUUACUUUCUGAGUGCUGCCCUUUCCAGCUAUGAAAAAAAAUAAAGUAAAAAACCCAAAUCAACAAAAACUAGCAUUCCCAGAAAAAUGUCAGUAUAAACUCCCUUUAUUAACCUGGCUGUCACUAACAUUUCCUCCCUGGGUCUCUUUGGCUCUAACCCACCAGAGAAUGGUUCCCACUGUAAUCAUCGGCAGUGAGGAAUUAAGCCUCAAUGAAUCAGGUGAGCUUCAACAGUGUUCUAGCAUUUCUGAAUGUAAAAGGUCACCAAAUUUGCUAAUGCUUAAUCUAGCCACAUCAGUAAGGAAAGAAAAAUGUUUUGAAGGAAAGUACUAAAGUAUUCAAAAAAACCCUGACAAGAAUAGUAAUAUUCAUAAAGGGAAAAUAUCUGUUAACUCAUUAUAUAAUUCUGUGGCUGAAAAUCUUUGAUAGAAAAUGUCCUUUUUUACUAAAUGUAGUCUGUAUUUGAUUCUGUUAUUCAUCUGAAUUAGUCUUAGCAAGACUUGGAGUUUUUUUUCCUUGCUUUUAAAAUUGAUAAAAGAAGAUUUAUUUGUGAAAAGCAGAUGUUGGGAUUAAUUGUUACAUUUAAUUAAUCAGAUAUUUAAGGUUUGGUAUAACCUAAUCUGCAAAGAAAAUAUUUUUAUCUGUUAAGUUUCCUGAUGUAAAAUACCUCUUGCAUUUUUGUUAACAGUUGUCAGAUAAAGGAGAGUAGUUUCUUACCCAUGACAUUUAUAAAAUACUAAUUCUGCCCUCUUAUUUUAUAUAAAAUUCAUUUAUAUUUACUUAGUACAGAGUUUGUAUUCAUUUAUAAUACUAAGUAGAAAUAAAUAAAACAGGUAAGGAACUUGUUAUUCUAUCAUUUAUUCUAUAAAUUAUGUAGAAAUGGAUCAAACAAGUGAAAUGAAAAUAUUUACCAUUGAGCAUACUUUUAUUUUUUUUGUUUAACUUAUAAACAACAUACUCAAAGAAGAGUAGAAAGGGAAAGAGAACUGGAAAGGUAAUUGGAAGACAAAGUGAUUUCUUAGGUCAGAUUUUUGUUGUAUAUAUAAAAUGUAAAUUGAGAAAUGCAGGGGCUUAUAAUGGCUUGAAUUCCAGGAGUCUCUCCCUCUUUUUGCUGAGCCCUGUGUGUUUAAGGGACUUGCUGGCUUUUUGUGGUGUCUAGAAGUUGUUAAAUGAGUUAAAAAAAACUGUAAAAACCUUCCACCAAACCAUCUUGCUUAUUUGCAAGGAUCAAGGAAGGAUUUUGUUUGUUUAUUUUUUUGAGAGAUGGAUUGAAAGAUUUUGAAAGGCAGUCAGAAGGGUUUGGAGUACUGAGGAGAUCCUUGAUAGCUGAUAGUUCAAGAAAAUGCUUCAUCAAACAGGGCUGGCAGGCAUCUCUUCACUCCUUUGAACCUUCAGUGUUGAUAAGGAGGUUUUAAAAGUUGUUAUUUGUAGGAAAAUUUGAUUUUCAUGUAUCUAAUUUAUAAGUAGGGGAUUUGCAGUAUGGGGUAUAUAAUAGUAAAUGACUCUGUCUUUAUUUGAACAAAGGACUAACAUCAAAUUCAUUAAGAUCUGCCUCUCAGCAAUUUUGUUCACAAAUCCAAUGGAAAAAAAUAAUCUCUGUAGUCACUUAGAAAACUGUCAGUAGUAGAUUGCAUGUGUAUGUGUGAAACCAGCAGACUAUUCACUGGAACUUUGUAAUUAAUGAUCAAAUAUUUUGAAAGAUCUUGUUAGUAGCAAUCCAAGUAGAAAUGGAGAAAAAGAUGAUGUGUCCGUAUUUCACCAGCAAGGCAGAUUGUGACUUUACAGAGCAUUAAGAUGCUUCAAGUUCUAAGUUUUUUCUUGGAUGAAGAAAAUGACUGAAUCCUGGAAUACUUCACCAAGGCUGCUUUUGUCAAACAGAGAAGAAACAAGAGAAGGCUGACCUCUCUCUUUGCUUACAGAAAGUUUUAUAUUUUCUAGGAUUAUAUAUUUAGAACACUUUAUACAACAGGCCAGGCACUAACAUUAUGAAGUCACCAAGUGUACAUGUAUAGUGCUUCCAGACAACAGCAAGAGGUGGACUAAAGUUUUUUUGGAGACCAAAUCAGUAAUUGAAAACUGACCUUUCCCUCUCUCACUCCCUUUCCCUCCUAGACAACGGCAGAGGGUCUGACGGUUGGAGGCAGAAACCCCCAAACAAACUGCUGUUACCUGAUACAAAUAACCAGAACAGAUACAAUUUUGUCUGAAGGCCAUGCUAAAUAGAUCCAUAAAAUUUAAGCUGAAGCCUUCUCAUCUACUUGCUGAACAUAUGUAUUUAAUCUACAAGAUGAGCAGAACCUGGGAUGUGAAUAGCAAAGCAGAAUUUGACCUUCAUUUUUUUAGUUAUUACUGAACAUGUGUGAUGUGAGAACAUUGAGAUCCGCUGCCAUUCAUUAUAGCAAAUGUCAAGUGGGUGUUGUGUGGAACUGAGAGAGACCAAUCUUGAGAGAACAUCCGCCUUCAAUAAGUGGAACUCCAGAUUACACAAAGCUGCAGGCAUAAAAGCAGCUACAAAAGAAAGUUCACUCUAAAAAUGAAACAAUUUUCUCUAGAAAAAUGAACAUGAAAGUUAAACAGCCAUCCUCACCCUUGCCUGGAAGAUCUGAGAAAGAAGGUGGAGAGAAAAGUGUCCAUUCUUUGGUCUCUGCAUGUGUGACAAUCAUUGUAGGUGGGAGACCACUAUACCAACUAAUAGAAGUGCCUGAAAAUGUUCCCAGGCUCUGCUGCUGGACCAGAAAACAAAACAUGUUCCUGCUAAUAAAUUCCAUCAUUCUCUGUAACUAGAUGGCUGUGUGAAAAAGUGCCUGUUGGAAAUGAUCCUGGGAAUAUUUAUACUCCCAAGCUGGUUUGGGAUUUUUUUGUAAGAGUGCUGAUGGCAUGUGUGCCACAAGUGUGCCAGGAAAUAGUUUGACAAUUUAGGGAUUGCCUAGAUUAGGAAAAAGGCCCAAUAAGAACAGAUCCAUGGCAGAAAACAUCUGGUGUUGAGGAUCACAUCCACACUGACAUUCAAAGUCUUUGUAUUUCAGAGAGUUUUACUGUUUCCUAGCUCUAGCCUGCUCCCGCAGACAGAAUGUCCAUUAGCAGUCAAAGUGCAUUAGAUGCCCUCUGAGACUGCUCCUCCAGGUUUAUUUUUAUCUGAAAGGAAUUCAUUUUGCACAUUCCAAACAUGAUGUGAACCAAAGUGCAGGAAGUGAGAACUACUGGGAGAUUUGCUUCAGUAGUGCAUCCUGAUCUGAACUAUAAUGCUACCUCACAUACACUCAGAGGCAACUGCGUCUCUCUGUUUGAGAACAUCCCCAAUCACAGUUUAAUUUACCAGUUCAUCCAGUUCAAUUGCACAUAAAAAUUGUGUGAGGCUUUGGCAUGCUAAGUGGAAAUUGGAUUUAAAAUUUUAUUGCUAAAAUUGAGUAAAUCUCUACUGAAUGUUUGAACUGUCAUUCUUAGAGUGCCUAGAAUAAAUUUGGGAAAGUUUGCAAGUGGAUGCAAAAAACACAACUGUUAUAUAUAGACUGUGUACAUGAAGUGUUUUAAAUGUGUCUCGCUAGUGUAUCUGAGAAAAGAGGAGGGAGAGAGAGAGAGUGUCUGAAUGUUAAAGGGAAAGAGAAAGGCCUAAAGACUAUUUCUUCUUCUUAUAGAUUAGAAAAAUCUUCACAGUAAAUUUACAGCCAAAAUUUCCAGUCCUGACUAAAGCAAGUGAUGUUUGGCAUGCUGUAUCUGCAGGUCGUGAGCUUUAAUUACAUCACAUUAUCUUUCACUGUAAGAUCUGGACUGCAGUUGCCUUUAGGUUGGAAUCCAAACUGAUAAGGAGCUUUUUAUCACUACACAGUAUAUCAGACAUAGUUUGUAAGGAACAGAUAGUCAUCUGCUCUACCAACCUGCCUAUUCUAGUUGAAGUUGCCUCCAGGGAAUAGAUAGCAGAAACUUUACAUUUAGAACACUUAAAAAGAAAGAUUCCUGGCAAAUGUGAUGGCAUAAGUGGUAUUUAAAGAAAAGCUGUGUAAUAUAGUACCUAAAUAAUUUUAUAGUCCUACUGCUAUUUUAGUAUGCUGGUAGGAUAUCUGAACCACUUGCUCUUGACUUGUACCUUGUUAGUAAUGAUGUUAUGCAUAAUGCAGCAAAAGAAUUCUUCAUUCCUGAGCAAGGGAACAGAAGUGAACAGAAGUGCCUUUUACAACUCAUCUCUUAUGGAUCAAAGGAAACGUCAAGCUUGCCUUAUCAUGUAAGCGAGUUUAGCGUCCUUGAGCUUACAUGAUAUGGGCUAAGUUACACAUACUUAGCCCAUAGUUUUUGCUAUGUUUGCAUUAACUGAAAUUGUGUGUUUAUGGAUUGCACAGGUUUGAUUUCUGCUGGUAGUUAGAUGUUCAGUGUGUCUAUUAAAAUGACAUAUUUUCAGGACUUACUGUGAAAUAUAUGCAGAAAUUAUUAAAAAAUAUGAAGAUAUUUAUUUUGGGCUAAAAUAAUCUAAAA